GACACGACUCUCGACAAUGGAUAUCUUGGCUCUUGCAUCGAUGAAGAGCGCAGCGAAAUGCGAUACGUGGUGCGAAUUGCAGAAUCCCGUGAACCAUCGAGUCUUUGAACGCAAGUUGCGCCCGAGGCCAUCAGGCCAAGGGCACGUCCGCCUGGGCGUCAAGC
rnacentral:rRNA from 1 species